UUAACUCUUAAGAACACUGGCAUUCUCUAACUUUCCUUUCUGUCCAUGGCCACAGAAAAAAUUAUGGACUUGAAGGAGCAGCCAGGUAACACUGUUUCGGCUGGUCAAGAAGAUUUCCCAUCUGUCCUGCUUGAAACUGCCGCUUCUCUUCCUUCUCUGUCUCCUCUCUCAACUGCUUCUUUUAAAGAACAUGAAUACCUUGGUGACUUACCAGCAGUAUCUCCCAUGGAAGGAGCACUUCGAGAAACUUUAAGUGAAGCUUCUAAAGAUUUCUCAGAGAAGGCAAAAAAUCCAUUUGUAGAUAGAGAUUUAACAAAACGUUCAGAAUUAGAAUACUCAGUAAUGGGAUCAUCAUUGAGUGGCACUCCAAAAGCAGAAUCUGCCAUAUUAGUAGAAAAUCCUAAGGAAGAAAUAGUUGUGAAGAACAAAGAUGAAAAGGAGGAUUUAGUUAGUAAUAUCAUUCUUCGUAAUCAACAACAAUCACCUGUAGCACUUUCUAAAUUGGUUAAAGAAGAGGAAAGAGGCAUAUCACCAGAAAAAACAAAGGACAGUUAUGAAAUGGGAAUUGCAGUAGAAGCACCUUUGCGGGAGGAAUAUGCAGACUUCAAACCAUUUGAGCAAGUAUGGGAAGUCAGAGAUACUUUUAAGGGAGAUAGGAAUGUGUUGGCUGCUAGGGGUAAUAUAGAAAGCAAAUUGGAAAGUAAAGUGGAUAAGAAAGGUUUUGCAGAUAGCCUUGAGCAAACAAAUCAUGAAAAUGAUAGUGAAAGCAGUAACGAUGAUGCUUCUUUUCCCAGUACACCAGAAGCUGUAAAAGACAGUUCAAGAGCAUAUAUCACAUGUGCUCCCUUUAACCCAACAGCAACUGAGAGCAUUGCAACAACUGUCUUUCCUUUGUUAGAAGAUCAUACUUCAGAAAAUAAGACUGAUGAGAAAAAAAUCGAAGAAAAAAAGGCCCAAAUUGUAACAGAGAAGACUAGCACCAAAACAUCAAACCCUUUCCUUGUGGCAACACAAGAUUCUGAGACAGAUUAUGUUACAACAGAUAAUUUAUCAAAGGUGACUGAUGAAGUGGUGGCAAACAUGCCUGAAGGACUAACUCCAGAUUUAGUACAAGAAGCUUGUGAGAGUGAAUUUAAUGAAGCUGUGGGUACAAAAGCUGCUUAUGAAACAAAAAUGGACUUGGUGCAAACAUCAGAAGCUGUGCAGGAUUCACUGUACCCUGUAGCACAGCUUUGCCCUUCAUUUGAAGAAUCUGAAGCUACUCCUUCACCAGUUUUGCCUGACAUUGUUAUGGAAGCACCAUUAAAUUCUCUAGUUCCUAGUGCUGGUGCUUCUGUGGCACAGCCCAGUUCAUCACCGUUAGAAGCUCCUCCAGUUAAUUAUGAGAGCAUAAAACAUGACCCUGAAAAUCCUCCACCAUAUGAAGAGGCCAUGAAUGUAUCACUAAAAAAAGUAUCAGGAAUAAUGGAAGAAAUUAAAGACCCUGAAAGUAUUAAUGCAGCUGUUCAGGAAACAGAAGCGCCUUAUAUAUCUAUUGCAUGUGAUUUAAUUAAAGAAACGAAGCUCUCUGCUGAACCAAAUCCAGAUUUCUCCAACUAUUCAGAAAUAGUAAAAGUUGAAAAGCCAAUCUCUGAUCAUUCUGAGCUUGUUGAAGAUUCCUCACCUGAUUCUGAACCAGUUGACCUAUUUAGUGAUGACUCAAUACCUGAAGUUCCACAAAAACAGGAUGAAGCUGUGAUGCUCAUGAAAGAAAAUCUUGCAGAAACUUCAUCUCAAUCGAUAGAAAUAGAAAAUGUGGGAAAACUCAGUGCUUUACCACCUGAAGGGGGAAAGCCAUAUUUGGAAUCUUUUCAACCUAAUUUAGAUACUAUGAAAAAUACUCUAUCACCUGAUGAAGUUUCAUUAUUGACCAGAAAGGAGAAAAUUCCUUUACAGAUGGAGGAGCUUGAUACUUCAGUCUACUCAGAUGAUGACUUACUUAUUUCUAAGGAAGCAAAUGCAAGAGAAAAUGAAACAUUUUCAGAUUCAUCUCCAAUUGAGAUUAUAGAUGAAUUUCCCACAUUAGUCAGCUCUAAAAUGGAUUCUUCUAAAUUAGCCAGUGAAUACACUAACCUAGAAGUAUCCCACAAAAGUGAUAGAGCUGGGUCAUUGCUAUGCUCAGUAAUGCCCCAUGAUCUUUCUUUCAAGAACAUACAUCCUAAAGAUGAAGAUAAAAUCCUUGGCUCAGAUGAGUUUUGCAAAGAUAGAUCUGACAUAUCAAAGGUUCCUUUACUGCCUCCAGAAGUUUCUCCUUUGGCAACUCAAACAGAGAUAGGAAGCACAAUUAAACCCAAAGUUCUUAUGAAAGAAGCAGAGAAAAAACUUCCUUCUGAUACAGAAAAAGAGAACAGAUCACCAUCUGCUAUAUUUUCAGCAGAGCUGAGUAAAACAUCAGUUGUUGACCUCCUCUACUGGAGAGAUAUUAAGAAGACUGGAGUGGUGUUUGGUGCCAGCUUAUUCUUGCUGCUCUCAUUGACAGUAUUUAGUAUUGUGAGUGUAACAGCCUACAUUGCCUUGGCCCUGCUCUCUGUCACUAUCAGCUUUAGGAUAUAUAAAGGUGUGAUCCAAGCUAUCCAGAAAUCAGAGGAAGGCCACCCAUUCAGGGCAUAUUUGGAAUCUGAAGUAGCUAUAUCUGAGGAAUUGGUUCAAAAAUACAGUAGUUCUACUCUUGGGCAUGUGAACUGCACCAUAAAAGAAUUCAGGCGCCUCUUCUUAGUUGAUGAUUUAGUUGAUUCUCUGAAGUUUGCAGUGUUGAUGUGGGUAUUUACCUAUGUUGGUGCCUUGUUCAAUGGUCUGACACUACUGAUUUUGGCUCUGAUUUCACUCUUCAGUGUUCCUGUUAUUUAUGAACGACAUCAGGUCCAGGAGAAGACCUGUUGUCUAUCACCGAAAACCCUCAAAUUCCACCCCAAUCUUUCUCAACGCCAUACGUGGGUCUGGAGAACAAAACAAGUACAAAAGCUUCUAGAGUCUGAAAUGAUGAAGUUCAAGGUUUCCUCCUCCCCAGUGAACAGAACUGAUGGCUUCUCAGUGUCUACUUCUGCUCAAGGCAGUGGAGUGGGCUCUGGAGGUAAUGUUCUACUGAGCAAAAUGGCACUAUUUAUCAUAAAGGGAAGUCUGCGUGUUAUGGGUUAG
ensembl:lincRNA